UACGUAGGCAGCAAGCGUUGUUCGGAGUUACUGGGCGUAAAGAGUGCGUAGGCGGUGCUCUAAGUUUGGUGUGAAAUCUCCCGGCUUAACUGGGAGGGUGCGCCGAAAACUGGAGUGCUUGAGUAUGGGAGAGGCAAGCGGAAUUCCUGGUGUAGCGGUGAAAUGCGUAGAUAUCAGGAGGAACACCUGUGGUGUAGACAGCUUGCUGGACCAUCACUGACGCUGGGGCACGAAAGCGUGGGUAGCAAACAGG
rnacentral:rRNA from 1 species